rnacentral:rRNA from 1 species
GAUGAACGCUGGCGGCGUGCCUAAUACAUGCAAGUCGAGCGAACAGACGAGGAGCUUGCUCCUCUGACGUUAGCGGCGGACGGGUGAGUAACACGUGGAUAACCUACCUAUAAGACUGGGAUAACUUCGGGAAACCGGAGCUAAUACCGGAUAAUAUAUUGAACCGCAUGGUUCAAUAGUGAAAGACGGUUUUGCUGUCACUUAUAGAUGGAUCCGCGCCGCAUUGGCUAGUUGGUAAGGUAACGGCUUACCAAGGCAACGAUGCGUAGCCGACCUGAGAGAGUGGUCGGCCACCCGGGAAGGGAGCCGACGUCCAGACUACUAAGGGAGGCAGCAGUAGGGAAUCGUACGCAAUGGGGGAAAGCCUUACGGAGCAAACGCGCGUGAGUGGUGAAGGUCUUCCGAGCGGAAAACUCUGUUAUUAGUGGAAAACCAAUGUGUAAGUAAAUAUGCACGUCUUGACGGUAACUGAUCAAGAAGCCCCGGCUAACUACGUG